UCAAUUGAUUUUAAAGGAUCGGACUUUGAACUUAUCCCAUUUGGAGCAGGAAGGAGGGGUUGUCCUGGAGUUUCAUUUGCUAUUGCUGUGAAUGAAUUGGUGCUAGCAAACCUUGUUUACCAAUUUGAUUGGAAAUUGCCUGAUGGAGUACCAGGGAAGGAUUUGGACAUGUCUGAGACUGGUGGCAUUACUUGUCAUAGAAAAUAUCCUCUACUUGCAGUAGCUACAAAAAUAUGACAGAAAUGAUCAAAUGAGUAAACAGUGAGAAUAGUCAAGAUGCCAAGAAUGACAUUAUUAAAUAGUGCAAAAAACUGAAAAUAGUUUGAAAUUAUAUUUUAAUUUUUAUGUGUUAUCUAUACAUAAUAUAAAGGGGAUAUUCCAAUUUGGUGUGGAUUUUUAUUAUUUCCACAUUUACNNNNNNNNNNNNNNNNNNNNNNNNNNNNNNNNNNNNNNNNNNNNNNNNNNNNNNNNNNNNNNNNNNNNNNNNNNNNNNNNNNNNNNNNNNNNNNNNNNNNNNNNNNNNNNNNNNNNNNNNNNNNNNNNNNNUUUGGUCAAUUUUGCCCUUUACUAUCAUUUGAAAUAACACUUAACAAUAAUACCAACAAUACCCUUAAUUUUUUUUAGUAGCAACAAAAAUAUUUUAUUAACAAACUCACAAUAGAAUAAGACAUAUUUUUUUUUUGACAUAAGUUAGACACAGGCAGGCGCGGAACGCGCUUGCCUGGCCCGCUAGUACAUGUAAUAAAGAGGAUACUUUUUUUUGGUGUGGAUUUUUUUUAUUUCCAACUUUACCCUCUCAUACAUGAGUAUUGAGUGGUUGAUUCAAGAAUUGGUAACCGCAUGCAUAACCAUUUUUUGGUGUGGACUUUUCAUAAUCCCAACAAUACCCUUAUUUUUUUUAGUAAUAAAAUUUUUUUAUUAACAAAUUCACCAUAAUAUAAGUCACAAAUUUUUUUUAGUAGCGAAAAUUUUUUAUUAACAAACUCACCAUAACAUAAGAUAUGUCGUUUUUUUUUACAUAAGUUAGACACAGGCAGGCGCGGAACGCGCCUGNNNNNNNNNNNNNNNNNNNNNNNNNNNNNNNNNNNNNNNNNNNNNNNNNNNNNNNNNNNNNNNNNNNNNNNNNNNNNNNNNNNNNNNGAAUGACAUUAUUAAAUAGUGCAAAAAACUGAAAAUAGUUUGAAAUUAUAUUUUAAUUUUUAUGUGUUAUUGUUAAUAACUACUAUAAUUGAACAAUGUAGACUUCUAAGCAAUCCUAUAUUCACACAUAUGGUGGCACUUGCCAAAACAAUGUAGAAAAUAAAAUCGUUGUUAUUCAUCACAAAUAAAAAUUUUAGUACCCUUUUUUUUUGGGGGGAAAGGGUACUCUAACAACUGCAACAAUUCUCCUCAUUCCUUCAUUUUUUUAAGGACACAUGAGAGCCACCACCCCAAACAUAAAAGGUUGCUAUCCCAUGAGCAACCCAACUUAAGUUUUUUCAAGCCUAGAUAAAAUUUUCAUACCUAACUCCGAAUAAGGGGAUAACUAAAAUCCGGUCAUUGACGACUUGAAAUGUGGCUACAUAACACAAAGACGGGAUAAAGGGUUCAAGGGGCUGGCAAAUCAUAAAAUUUUGAAUAAGGUGGUCAAAAAGGUCCAGAGGUACCGAACAAAAUGUCUUUAGUAUAAUGCCAAAAAUCUCAUGUAAUGCUGUUAAGAAUAAAUGCAAAUUUUGAAGAAGUUAACACAUGUCUGGACAAACACACAUCAAGAAAAAUAUCAAUUUUUAUGCUCAAAUGCUCACAGUUAGGAUAACAAAGAAAUUAGACUUUUGGAUCUCUGUUAAUCAAACAGAAAUAAUUCCAUCAAAAUUACCAGCAAACAAAUAUAAUCAGAGAGCAAUCAAUAAUGUAACUGAUAGUUCCUUCAAAAGUGAGCAACAAACUAAUAGGUAUGUUUUAGUCAAAUACUCAAAAUCAAAUCACAUAUAAAAUAUAGUAACUCAAAAUAGGGGAGUGAUAAUGUCAUUCAAUAAUAGAUGUCCAGAAUACAAAAGAGAAAAAACAAAAUAAGAACUAAAAAUCUAAAUGACAGUGGAAUGGGAAAGGGUUGCCUCUCUCAGCCUGUAAUUGGGUAGAAUACAAGAUUGUGACAUUUGAAUGAUAGGUACACUUGUGGCCAUAAUUGGAAUGGGAAAGGAUUCCUAAUUUUCAGUUACUAUAUACACACACAACAAACUUUUCUCUUCAUCUCUUAUAUCAUUAUCCACAUGCAAAAAAAAAUAAAAAUUAUAAGUGCAUAUAUAUGAAGAAAUAACAAUACAUACAACGUGACUCAUUCUCAUCAUAUGCUGUGAUUCUCACCUUAUCAAAACACAACUCAUUACUAUCUUAUUAUAAUUAUCCUAGUCACCGUAAUAUUUAUAGAGAGAAAGAUAUUAGAAGAACCAAUAAACAGCAUAAACUCAACUGAUAUAUCAGAAGGAAGAGAGUGGUUUUUAUCAUCACUGAGCAGAAACCAAAGCUCAAGGCCAUGUCCACAUUUCUACGAAGUUCUUUUUCACCCGAAAUAUUCACUUCAUUCCCUAUGCUUUUCUUCACUAUCUUUCCACUAUUCCUUUCUAUUUUAUUCAUCAUCAAAUGGUAUUUCAAUAAUUCUGACACCACAAGAAACUCACCACCUUCACCUCCAAGAUUACCUCUACUUGGUAAUCUCCAUCAACUUGGCUUAUUGCCUCACCGGUCACUCCAAAAUUUAUCACACAAAUAUGGCCCUUUAAUGCUUCUUUAUUUUGGGAAGGUUCCAGUACUUGUGGUUUCUUCUGCUGAUGCAGCUAGUAAAGUAAUGAAAACUCAUGACAUGGUUUUCUCUGAUAGGCCACACUGUAAAAUCUUCGAUAUCCUUUUAUAUGGUUCUAAAGAUGUGGCAAGUUGUGCAUAUGGUGAGUAUUGGAGACAAAUUAGGAGUCUCAGUGUGAUACACCUUCUGAGUAACAAAAUGGUACGAUCUUAUCAUCAUGUAAGAGAGGAAGAAACUUUGAGAAUGAUGGAAUAUAUUAAGGAGUGUUGUUCUUCUGCACCGCCGUUGAAUUUAACUCAGUUGUGUUCUACAAUUACUAAUGAUAUAGUCUGUAGGGUGGCUUUAGGAAGAAGAUACCGUGAAGGAAAAGGGAACAAAUUUCAGGAAGUUUUGUUGGAGUUUGGGGAGUUAUUGGGCACUGUAUGUAUAGGAGACUAUAUACCUUGGCUUGACUGGUUGGGGAAAGUUAAUGGUUUUUAUAGCAGGGCAGAAAAAUGUGCCAAAUAUUUGGAUGAGUUCUUGGAACAAGUUAUUGAGGAGCACAUUAGUCGUUGGUCUGAUGGAGAUGUUAGUGUUGAUAGUGAGCAUCAAAAUGAUUUUGUGGAUGUUUUGAUUUCUGUUCAAAAGACUAAUGCUAUUGGCUUCCCAAUUGAGAGAACUUCAAUAAAAGCUUUAAUACUAGUAAGUAACAAUAUCAUUCAUCCCCUUUUUGUAUAAUAUUGUUCUAUAGCAUAUAAAUAUAUAAUAGAUUUAGUGUUCUCAAACUGAUACUUAAUUCCUAUGAUGAUAGGUUUAUUGUUCUAUGUGGCAAAAGCAACUUAGUUAGACUAACUUGGUCAUAUUUAUCUGAUACUUGAUUCCUAUGAUGUGUGUUAAGAAGUCUCACAUCGGUUGCGAGAUGGCCUGAAUGUGUGUUUAUAAAGUGAGGGCAAUCCUCACUUUAGAAGCCGGUUUUGUAAGGAUGAGUUAGGCCCAGUACCAAAUCUAAGAAUGUGGACCCCGGAUAUAUUCUGAAAAUUAUGUUAGGAGCCCAUUUUGAUUAUAAAAUAUUAGUGGACGCUAUCAUGUUCAUCUUUCCACUUUCAUCGAUAAAAAGAAUGAUAUUUUGGCGUUCCAAAAAAAACCAGCUAAUCCCGUUAGAUUUUAGAUGUAUUUUAUGUAUAAAUUUGUUUCUUUUAUAUAUUUAAUAAUAUACUGUUAUAAACAUUUAUUUUGUGGAAAUAUACGUAUUUUAAGUAAAUUAAAUCAUGUUUUUUCCCCUGCACGUAGGAUGUGUUUGCUGCAGGUACAGAUACUACAUACACAGUCCUAGAAUGGGCAAUGACAGAACUGUUAAGACACCAAACUGUAAUGCAUAAACUGCAAGAUGAGGUCAGAACUGUGGUUGGAAACAAACCUCGUGUAACUGAAGAAGAUUUGGUUAACCUGAAUUAUUUGAAAGCUGUGAUUAAAGAAACCCUUCGCCUCCACGCCCCAAUUCCGUUAUUAGUUCCUCGGAAAUGUAUGGAAGAUAUCAAACUAGAUGGUUAUGACAUUGCAGCUGGAACACAGGUAAUUAUCAAUGCUUGGGCUAUUUCUAGAGAUCCUUCAAGUUGGGGUGAACCUUUAGAGUUUAAACCAGAAAGGUUUAUGAACAGUUCAAUAGAUUUUAAAGGAUUAGACUUUGAACUUAUCCCAUUUGGAGCUGGAAGGAGGGGUUGUCCUGGAUUUUUGUUUGCCAUUGCUGUGAAUGAAUUGGUGCUAGCAAACCUUGUUUACCAAUUUGAUUGGAAAUUGCCUGAUGGAGUAGCAGGGAAGGAUUUGGACGUAUCUGAGACUGGUGGCCUUGCUUGUCAUAGAAAACACCCUCUACUUGCAGUACCUACAAAAUAUGGCAGAAAUGAAUAAACAGUUACAUAGUCAAGAGCCAAGAAUGACAUUAUCACUAUUCACUAGGCCAAAGAGAUCUCGCCAAUACAUGUUUGUGACCAUUUUUCUUGGAGCUUAGUGCAUGAGUUUAGGUGCUAUAUAAUGUAGUUGCAACCCAAUGAGUGGACAGAAGGAGAAGAGAUGGAUAGGUUAUAACAAAGGAUCUCACUUUUGAGCCAGGGAUAAAGAGAGACCAGCUGUAACUGUAAUAUUUUGCAGGCUUUGCAGUAAUAUAAUCGGUAUGAAAUUUGUAUAGAAUUUUUGGAAGGAAAUUAGCAUAAAAUUUUGCAUGGAAGGUAUUCGCAUGUAAGUUCUUAAAAAAGACAACAUUGAAUUCAAUUAUUACUCCAAUUUUUUUUUUAAUAGACGUGAUUUUUGUUAGAGGUUCCUAUAGUAAGGAACAAAGGGAGUAUGUUGUUUGUCCUCAAAGAACGAAACUUUCAAAAGAGAACAACCUCAAAUAUAAAAUCAGACAUUUCUAAAAAUCUAUCUUUCUAUCUGCAUAAUUAAUUAACAACAAACAUGUGAGUAUACAAAAAACAUCUCAUCUACUAACAACCAAUCAGAAAUUCAGUGCAAUUCAUCCAACACUUUUUCAUAGGGACAAUUCUCUCUUCACACAACCUCACACAAAUUUUCUCAAGUGUAUGUUUACAGGGUUUAACAUAUCACUCAAAUCCCAGAGCAUACAUCAUUAUACUAUAGGCUUGAAAAUAUUAUAUAUAACAGUCACAAUAUAAUUAUGCAUACACUUCCAGGUUGUAACGAAACUUACGCCAAUUUAGGAUAUUUUUGGAUAAUAGGUUUUUCUUGUUAGAGUUAGGCAACUGUUCUAAACAAUCCUAUAUUCACAAUUGGCGGCACUUCCCAAAACAAUGUUCCAGAUUUUAGAAAACAAAAUUGAUGCUAUUCAUCACAAAUACAACCCUAUAUUCUUUUUUUUCUAUUCAUCAUAAAAUUAUGAACAAGGUGGUCAAAAAGAUCCAGAGGUACCAAACAAAAUGUCUUAGUGUGAUGUCGUUAAGAAUAAAUGCAAAGUUUUGAAAAAGUUAACACAUGUAUGCACAACCACACAUCAAGAAAAAUAUCAAUGUCUAUGCUCAAUUGCUCAUGGUUAGGAUAACAAAGAAAUUAGUCUUUUGGAUCUAUGUUAAUCCAACAGAAAUAAUUCCAUCAAAAUUAUCAGCAAACAAAUAUAACCAUAGAGUAAUCAAUAAUGUUACUGAUAGUUCCUUCUAAAGUGAAGAACAAACUAAUAGGUACAUUCUAGUCAAAUGCUCAAAAUCAAAUCACAUAUAAAAUAGAGCAACUCAAAACAUAUCAAAACUAGGGAGUGAAAAUAUCAUUCAACAAUAGUUGUCCAAAUACAAAAGAGAAAAACAAAAUAAGAACUAAAAAUCAAAAUGACAGUGGAAUGGGAAAGGGUUGCCUCUCUCAGCAUGUAAAUGGGCAGAAUACAAGAUUGUGACAUUUGAAUGAUAGGUACACUUGUGGCCAUAAUUGGAAUGGGAAAGGAUUCCUAAUUUUCAGUUACUAUAUACACACACAACAAAAUUUUCUCUUCAUCUCUUAUAUCAUUAUCCACAUGCAAAAAACAAAAUUACAAGUGCAUAUAUAUGAAGAAAUAACAAUACAUACAACGUGACUCAUUCUCAUCCUAUGCUGUGAUUCUCACCUUAUAAAAAUACAGCUCAUUAUUAUCUUAUUAUAAUCAUCCUAGUCACCAUAAUAUACGUAGAGAGAAAGAUAUCAGAAGAAGAAGAAGAACCAAUAAACAUCAUAACCCCAACUGAUAUAUCAGAAGGAAGAGAGUGGUUUUUAUCAUCACUGAACAGAAACCAAAGCUUAAGGCAUGUCCACAUUUCUACAAAGUUCUCUUUCACAUGAGAUCUUCUCUUCAUUCCCUAUGCUUUUCUUCACUAUCUUUCCGCUAUUCCUUAUUUCUCUUUUCUUCAUCAUCAAAUGGUAUUUCAGCAAUUCUGUCACCAAAAGAAACUCACCACCGUCACCUCCAAGAUUGCCACUACUUGGUAAUCUCCAUCAACUUGGCUUAUUCCCUCACCGAUCACUCCAAAACCUUUCUCACAAAUAUGGCCCUUUAAUGCUUCUUUAUUUUGGCAAGGUUCCAGUACUUGUGGUUUCCUCUGCUGAUGCAGCUUCUAAAGUAAUGAAAACUCAUGACUUGGUUUUCUCUGAUAGGCCACAACGUAAAAUCUUCGAUAUCCUUUUAUAUGGUUCGAAAGAUGUGGCAAGUUGUGCAUAUGGUGAGUAUUGGAGACAAGUAAGGAGUCUCAGUGUGUUACACCUUCUUAGUAACAAAAGGGUUCAAUCUUAUCAUCACGUGAGAGAGGAGGAAACUUUAAGAAUGAUGGAAUAUAUUAAGGAAUGUUGUUCUUCUGCGUCACCGUUGAAUUUAAAUGAUUUGUGUUCUACAAUUACUAAUGAUAUAAUAUGUAGGGUGGCUUUUGGAAAAAGAUACCGUGAAGGAAGAGAGAUGAAAUUGCAGGAGGCGUUGUCUCAGUUUGAGGAGUUAUUGGGUAGUGUAUGUAUAUGAGACUAUAUACCUUGGCUUGAUUGGUUGGGGAAAGUUAAUGGUUUUUAUAGCAAGGCAGAAAAAUGUGCCAAAUAUUUGGAUGAGUUCAUGGAACAAGUUAUUGAGGAGCACAUUAGUCGUUGGUCUGAUGGAGAUGUUAGUGUUGAUAGUGAGGAUCAGAAUGAUUUUGUGGAUGUUUUGCUUUCUGUUCAAAAGACUAAUGCUAUUGGCUUCCCAAUUGAUAGAACUGUAAUCAAGGCUAUGAUACUAGUAAGUAACAAUAUCAUUCAUAUAUACUAGCAUAAGCAACUUGGUUAAACUAACUUGAUCAUUCUAUCAAUUCCAAAAAAUCAAUCUUUAUCUCAAUUUAGUUAUCUCUUCGUUGCACUCUACCAUACCAUGCUUCUCAAUAGCAGAGAUAAUUAUAGAUAUGCUGCAGAUUAUAACUUUGAAGUUUUUCUAAUGUAAUGUUUAGAUAUAAUUUAACUACUGAUCUGUUAGAUCACUUCUUUUUUCCACUAGCUUAGAUUACUUAAAUAUAAUUUCUGUAUAAAUUGUUUAAAAUAUUUUGUGCUUUUUCCCUGCAUAUGUAGGACAUAUUUGUUGCAGGUACAGACACUACCUACACAGUACUAGAAUGGGCGAUGACAGAACUAUUAAGACACGAAACUGUGAUGCAUAAAUUACAAGAUGAGGUGAGAACUGUGGUUGGCAACAAAACUCAUGUAACUGAAGAGGAUUUGGUUAACAUGAACUAUUUGAAGGCCGUGAUCAAAGAGACACUUCGCCUUCAUUUACCAGUUCCGCUAUUAAUCCCUCGGAAAUGUAUGGAAAAUAUCAAACUAGAUGGUUAUGACAUUGCAGCUGGAACACAUGUAAUUAUCAAUGCUUGGGCUAUUGCUAGAGACCCUUCAAGUUGGGAACAACCUCUAGAGUUUAAACCAGAAAGGUUUAUGAACAGUUCAAUUGAAUUUAAAGGAUUGGACUUUGAACUUAUCCCAUUUGGAGCAGGAAGAAGAGGUUGUCCUGGAGUGGUGUUUGCUAUUGCUGUGAAUGAAUUGGUGUUAGCAAACCUUGUUUACCAAUUUGAUUGGAAAUUGGCUGAUGCUGUAGAAGGGAAGGAUUUGGACAUGUCUGAAACUUUUGGCCUUACUCUACAUAGAAAAUACCCUCUACUUGCAGUAGCUACUAAAUAUGACAGAAAUAGAUAAACAGUUACAAUAUAGCCAAGAGGCUAAGAAUGACAUUUUUAAAUAAUGUGAAAAACUGAAAAUAGUUUGUAAUCAUAUUUUAAUUUUUAUGUGUUAUUGUUAUUAACUAUAAUUGAACAAUGAAUAUUGAUGUUUGACUAUAAUUGAACAAAUUUAGUUUUGAUCACUAAUAAUAGGCCACUGAAGGAGGGACAAAAGGAUCACUUGGACAAAUUUAGUUUUCUUGGAUUUUUUUUUUUUGUUUACAAUGGAACUGAGGAUCGAACUAAGACCUCUAGCAUACUAUCCAAACCCCUCACUACUAGACCAAACCUNNNNNNNNNNNNNNNNNNNAGUGGCUGUUUUACAACUUGCAACCCCAUGAGUGGACAGAAGCACUAUAAACGGAUAAUAUUUACAAUUCUUGAGGAGUCUAAUAUGGUCCCGUGCAAAGUAAAUAUUACUAUUUUUAGUAAAAUGUUAUAUAUGUUCUCAAAUAACCCCUCUCCCCAUAAACAAUCACAAAAAAUACAAAGCCCAGCCUGGAAAUAGAAAGCACAUCAAAAACAAAAAAUUACAGAGUAAAAAAAAGAUUCCACCCUAAUACCAGCUACUCAAAACCAGAAAUAAACAUAAAUCGCAGGCCACUAAAAUAUGAUAAAAAACGAGCAGAAUUAAUAUCAAAAGUAUCCCAAAGAAACAUAUUAAUAGGAACAGAACGCAGGCAUGGAGUUAAGAGAUGAGUGAUAGGAACAUAAAAAAAUUAACGAGAAAGAGAGUUUCAUACCUUGAAGCAGAAAGCAGGCAGGGAGAAAAGAGAUUUCGCAGAGAAAGAAUGAGUUG
rnacentral:lncRNA from 1 species